AAUAAAAUUUCAUUCUCCUUAAUAAAGUAAUAAAUUUAGGAAUGCAAGGCGUAGGUUACGCCUUCUACCGCCCUCUGUCGGAAAUCGGCAGGAAGUCAUCGACCGUGAGCUGUCUGAUCCUGGAUCGGCCUUCCUCGCCAUCUAGCGUGGGAUAGCCGCACUCUUGUAUUCCUCUAUGGACUUACGUGGAUCAUAGUUGCCAUGUUGAAAAAUAGAAGUAAAUCGUCAUCGAGCGUUUGCCUUCCUUCCUUUUAUUCGUAACCAGACUUAAUUAUGGGUUUUUUUAAGCUCCGCGUUAAUCGCGAAGAGUUUAGUAUUAUAUUUUAUUGUUGACUUAAUUUCCAUUGAACGUCCGGAGCCGGCUGUUUGCGGUGUGAGCCGAUUUAGGCUUGGCAACACUAGUCCCGUCCAAAAUGGCGAAUGAGAUGGGAUUUCUUUUUGCCGGAGAGAGAGUUGAAGGGAUAUCGUUGGCCCAGGCCAAAAUCGGGCGCAAUCGCCCGUUUGAGUGAGUUUCAAUAGUGAUUCGGUUGUGUAUUUCUUUUUAGUUGGUUAGUUUCUAACGAAGCGUUGCAUAUUUUCCAGCCCCGGAAUCGGACGUGAAUAAAACCAUGUUCUGAUGGUGAUAGGCGACGCCCAGCGUGCCCGGAUGUCGAAAUAGGUGCAAUUUUGCCCUCUGCUGGCCCUUUCUCCAUCAACGGGUUCACGCCGCGUCGCCUAAACCUCGCGCCGGCCGCGAGAGGUUCCCCUGGUAUCCCGGUAACUUGUGGGCAGCAGAUUGCUGCUGUUCUACCUACUCCCGACGUUUCACCCCAAGGCUGCUGACGUGGCAGUUGUGGUGUUUCGAGGUCAGAUCUUUCCACGUUUACUUAUUGACUGAAUGAACCGGCCUUUCGGUUCUGGCGCCCUUCCGUGUAACUACCUUAAUAUAUAUUGACCGCUGUAUCCGUUUCUACCAGUAAUGAUAAUUUAGAGCCCGCUGACCCACGUUUGUUCCCUUAAAAUAUAAACUCAACAUUAUUGUUCUCGUGAGCUAGCCCUCGGCAAACAAUUGUUACCGUGUAUCUAGGAUAACAAAUUAGCAUAAUCAAUUUAGAUUUUUUUUCCUGAAUUCAAUAAAUACCUGGUUCCUCUUCAACUGUUGUUUGAUUUUUUUUUAUUUUGGCGUUAGCUAAAGGAAACCCCCCAUAAAAUUAAAUAUCGUAACAGUGUCAGCCCAUCGUGGGGCGUUAUAUCAGCGAGCCUCUUUAGUCACAUUGUUAGCUAGAGGAAUUUCUGGUAGAAACGGUGCGGCUUGUAUAAUUGUAAUUAAGUAGGUACUUUUGUUUUUUUUUAAUUCUAAGUAUUUGUGUGUCAUUGUAGCUGCAAGUACCUCUUAAUAGUUGUGCGGAAUUAUUUCCGAUAAUAUUUUCAGUGUUUGGAAAGAUAGUUUUUUUUUUAAAUGCUUACUACUAAUUACAGACAUUACUAUUUGUAUAAAUAAUUUUAUUCUUUUAUGGGUUACCGGGACCCAGUGUGGAGUUGUAACAAUUUUAUUUCUAUUUUUUUUUAUAUUUAGAGAUUGUAUGCAUUUUGGGUAACCAUAACUAAGGUGCCUUAAUGUUAACGGACGGUUGUGUAAAGAAAAAGUGUUACGUUUUAAAUUUAAAAGUUGAUAAUGUUAUUAUUCUCCCUUCGUGGGAGGUUACAGUAAUUAUUAGUAGCGGUUAUAAUUUAUUACAUAAAUAUGAGUUUGAAUAUCAUGUGGCAAUGGCCACCUUACUAUAAAUAUUUCGGUAACUACUUACAGUGUUUAAAAUUUGCAUGUACUAUUUACUGUAUCAUUUGAUACAGGAUGUCUUUUCAUAUUGGACUGUGAAGACUUCAAAUAUAUAAAUUUUUUUUUAACUUUGAAACAUUAUGGUUAACGUUGGAUGUUGAAUAGUUAGAAAAGGUGCAUCGUUUUGAGAUGGACAGUUAUGCAGAGGUGUUAAACCUUAUAAUUUAAGUUAACUUUAUUAAAAUUUUAUUCCCUUAGGGAAAGUUUUUGUACUUAUAAGUAGGUAGCUAAAUAAGUAUGCACCUCAUGAUAAGUGUAAUGGGGGAACAACGUCGGUCAGCGGAGCAUUUUUUUUUUUUAAUAUUAUUUUCUGGCGGAGAUUUAAAUUUAAAAUAAAAUUAAUAUUAUGUUAUUACUAAUGGGUGGUGCAGUGUGUGUAUAGUCAGGCACAUUUAUUGCUGAGGCGUUUCUUAACUUUUUUUAAUUCAUAAAAUAUAAAGUUGAAUCUUAUCUUGGAGUUCAAAGGCCAAAUAAACUGAGAGUUAUUUGGUACUUAUUUCUUUUGCUUUUUCCCUUUUUCUCGACUUAAAUCGAGAUUAUUUUUUUACCUUUAGCGACGUCGGUUACUGGCUUACCAGUUUAUCGGUGAUGGUGUUGUGUGUUUGUCUCGAUGGAGGCAGGCGUUUUUCCUUUUAUGUGUUGUGAGUGGGAGUUCUUACGUUGUGUCCAGAUGGUACGGUUACGUCUGUACACAAACGUAUUACCUUUUGAUGUUUGGUGGUGAGUGAACGAUUUAAAAGUUCUCUUCACGUAGUUUUCUGGGUGCUGGCGUUUUAAACCAGCAUUCCAGCUUCACUGGCUGGUCGGAUUCUUGCGGAUUUAAACGGAGAAUUCUUAAUAGCAGUGUUGUACCCUUGUUGACGCUUUGCGGUAUGGCUUAAAUCAUAUGCGUGAACGUUGACGUUCUUUUGUGUUGUCGGACCGACAGACUUGCGUCGCCUGAGACGUGGUUUGUACAGUCAACCUUUGUAUGUCUUAUGUUGUGUCGAAACGUUCCGUCCUGUGUCGUAGAUAGACGCAGCCGGUAGAUACGCUUCGUUGUCCUGGUGUUAUUGUCUGAUUUUCGUAUUCUUAGCUGUCACCGAUAUUAGUUAGGGAAAUUUCAUUUAGCUAUAAGCCGUCUUCCGUUAUAUCGCUUGGACGUACAGCCCGCUGUCUGGUACAGCUCGCUGUGCCGCCAAGAAAUAUAGACGAUGCGACGUUUUGUAGUAAUUUACUUAAAAAAAAAAAAAAAAAAAGGUAUUCUUAUCUGGUUUAGUGCGUGGGUUCGAUUUUGAUGGUUUUUUUUAUUAUCGAUUUUAGAUUUCGAGUUGUAGCUGUUAUAUUACCGUUAUUUCCUGUAGUUGGAGCUGGAGACCAGCUCAAAAUUUUGCCUACGUCAAAAUUUUCUCUGGGGAAGGGAGUAUUGUAACAAUAAAAUUUCAUUCUCCUUAAUAAAGUAAUAAAUUUAGGAAUGCAAGGCGUAGGUUACGCCUUCUACCGCCCUCUGUCGGAAAUCGGCAGGAAGUCAUCGACCGUGAGCUGUCUGAUCCUGGAUCGGCCUUCCUCGCCAUCUAGCGUGGGAUAGCCGCACUCUUGUAUUCCUCUAUGGACUUACGUGGAUCAUAGUUGCCAUGUUGAAAAAUAGAAGUAAAUCGUCAUCGAGCGUUUGCCUUCCUUCCUUUUAUUCGUAACCAGACUUAAUUAUGGGUUUUUUUUAAGCUCCGCGUUAAUCGCGAAGAGUUUAGUAUUAUAUUUUAUUGUUGACUUAAUUUCCAUUGAACGUCCGGAGCCGGCUGUUUGCGGUGUGAGCCGAUUUAGGCUUGGCAACACUAGUCCCGUCCAAAAUGGCGAAUGAGAUGGGAUUUCUUUUUGCCGGAGAGAGAGUUGAAGGGAUAUCGUUGGCCCAGGCCAAAAUCGGGCGCAAUCGCCCGUUUGAGUGAGUUUCAAUAGUGAUUCGGUUGUGUAUUUCUUUUUAGUUGGUUAGUUUCUAACGAAGCGUUGCAUAUUUUCCAGCCCCGGAAUCGGACGUGAAUAAAACCAUGUUCUGAUGGUGAUAGGCGACGCCCAGCGUGCCCGGAUGUCGAAAUAGGUGCAAUUUUGCCCUCUGCUGGCCCUUUCUCCAUCAACGGGUUCACGCCGCGUCGCCUAAACCUCGCGCCGGCCGCGAGAGGUUCCCCUGGUAUCCCGGUAACUUGUGGGCAGCAGAUUGCUGCUGUUCUACCUACUCCCGACGUUUCACCCCAAGGCUGCUGACGUGGCAGUUGUGGUGUUUCGAGGUCAGAUCUUUCCACGUUUACUUAUUGACUGAAUGAACCGGCCUUUCGGUUCUGGCGCCCUUCCGUGUAACUACCUUAAUAUAUAUUGACCGCU
rnacentral:lncRNA from 1 species